CACGUAGGGCGCGAGCGUUGUCCGGAAUUAUUGGGCGUAAAGAGCUCGUAGGCGGCCUGUUGCGUCCGCUGUGAAAGCCCGGGGCUUAACCCCGGGUCGGCAGUGGAUACGGGCAGGCUAGAGUUUGGUAGGGGAGACUGGAAUUCCUGGUGUAGCGGUGAAAUGCGCAGAUAUCAGGAGGAACACCGGUAGCGAAGGCGGGUCUCUGGGCCAAUACUGACGCUGAGGAGCGAAAGCGUGGGGAGCGAACAGG
rnacentral:rRNA from 1 species